UGGAAAAAAAUGUUCAUUUACACACACAUACACACGCAAAUACUUGAAGUAUACUAAGAAGUGUGUACACUUUAUUAUUGUAUAUAAACGUUCUUGCACACACGCACAUUGUAGAUGGCGCGCUCGCAAGUUGUAUACAUAUUAUAUAUAUAUAUAUGUAAAAACUAGCGUAUACACUAUCACGUUAUUACUUAUAUAGUAGUUAUAUAUAUAUAUAUAUAUUUAUGUAUACGGUAUAUCUGAUAUCUAUAUACGUACGUCUGUCUGGUGUAAGUGGUGUCCUGUCCCCCGAUGUCGCUGGUUGAUAUUAUUAUUAUUAUUAUUAGUUAUUACUAUUGUUCUUGUUCGCCUUUUCGGUAAAACAGAACAUUUUGGUUUUUUAAUCUGCGAUGGAGCGAAUUGUCGCCGUCGCUGCCGCCGUCGUGCGCCGAAACAAUAAUUGUUAGUCGCCGCGCACGUUGGACCCCAAUGUCCACUGUUCCGCCGCCGCCACCGCCGCCGCCGCCGCAGCAGCAGCAAUUCGUCGGCCAUUACCUCAUAAGCGACCCGGAGUGACGGAGACUUAUAGCAAGCAAUGACUGUUCAGCGCUCGAACCGAUAGGUUGUGCUCAGUCGGACGGACGGUCAGUCGGAGACGAUAUUCUUCACCAGCGACGUUGACCGCUGCCACAGCUUGUUGCUGAGCGCCGGUCGUUCGUUUCAGGGGCAGUCUUGCACAGCGAACAAAUGCUGUUGACAUCCACUGCUAGUAUCCAGUAAAGAGAGGUGUUGCGCACGUCACCGGUGACGCGAUGGCUGUUCACCGACAUGAAGAAGGAUCUGCAUCGUCGUCAAUGUCUAUCAGUACCAUAGAGCCCAUGACGACGAUCGACUGCAGUCGAAAGAGGAUUCACAGCGAAACAGUUGAUUCAGAUAUCGAUGAAAAUACUAAAAAAACACCAAUAAGUUCAAAAAAAUUUCCUAAGUAUGUGGAUUGUCAAGAAACGUUGGUCGAAAUGUCAUUUAUUAAAUGGUUAGCUGGUUUUCGGUUGGAAUGCCGUAUGAUUUCAUGCAGUACACAUACAGAACUUUUCAUUGGAUUAUUUAAUUUUUUUUGUCUGAAUAUAGCACCAGAAAUGGUUGACUGCAGAAAUAAAAUUAAUAAAUCAACUCUUUUGAAAUCUUAUCUAGAACAAACCAUGAUGUUUUUUCGAGGAUACUAUAAACGCAUUAAAAAAAUAAGAGGGGAUACUUUGGAUGUUAUAUAUUAUGAUAGAAUGAGUUCAAUGUUGGCAUAUUACAUAGAUUUGAAACUAAUGUCAUCUCAGCGUUAUAAGGAAAACUCAUCUCACAAAAAAACUUCAAGUAAAAUAAAUACAAUGAUAUUUGUUUUUUUAGAUCAGAAACUUGAUUAUAUGUUUGAUGCAGUAUUUCAAUUAUACUAUGUAUUUUAUGGUUCUGUUAAUAUUAAUUUAGGAUCAAUAAUGCUUCCAGUUUUUAAAAAAUUAUUGUCUGAACAUCCAAUGCCUAAAAAAAUGAAGUUUCUUACAUAUUUACGAUAUAUUUUGUGUUUUAAACUGUGGAAAAAAAUAAUUCACUCCUCGGGUAUGGCUAGUGCCGUUAAGAGAAAGGAAUUGGAAAAUAUAAGAUUAUUAUUGAGAGGGUUGAAUGCUCCAUAUGAUUUUAUGAUUCAACAUGCAAAAUAUAAUUGGGCUAACUGGCCAAAAUUGACUAUGUCGCCAAACGGAACACCAGAUACAAUACAAAGAGAUUUAAAAAAUCUUACUUUUGUUUUGUAUCAUACAACUUUAUCACUUAAAGAGUGUUACAAGGAUAUAUUGGAUGCUUCAAGAAAAGAUAUUCCAAUAGUAUUGAAACCAAUUGAAGAACAGUUGAAAGUAUUACGACCGGAAUUAUUUGCAAUUUCAGGAAAAGAAGUGUUAACAAAUUGGAAUGAAAAUUUUGAUGACACUCUAAAACCACUUAUACCAACUACACGUUCUUGUAAUAGCUUGCUGAGAAAAAUCAAGUAUAAUUUUUAUACCCCAGAAAAGUAUGUAUUUGUUGAUGAUGAAACCGAUCAAGUUAGUUCUAUUACAAACAUUGAUGAUUUAAGCAAUUUAAAGCACUUAGGAGAAAGUUCAGAAGUUCCUACGUUGCGGGUCAAAGAAAAUGUGUCACGUGCUGAUAAAAAAUGUACGGAAAAAACUAAUCUUACGACUUCAUCAACGGAUAAAGUAAAUAAUGAAAGCAAAAAAGAUGAAAAUGAGAAAUCUUCUGUUGUAACAAUGAAAUCAGUAGUUGCUAAUGGGGAAUCAUUCCCGGUUAAUGUAAAUCAACACCCAAGUGAUGAUGAACUGCAAAUCAAUGAGAAAAAAUCAAAAUCAUCUGAAAAACAUGCACUACACGGGAACGAAGGCAGAUUUGAUCCUACAUUAUCUAAUAAUGUAAAUAGAUUAAAUUACAUGGCUGAAAUUACAAGUGCUGCUGUUCAUCACUCCUAUGGACCCGGAUGUUCUUUUGCUAAAGGAACAAAAAGAAAUCAAUAUUCAUCAUUUAGUGAAAAUAGUAAAAGCAAAAAAAUUUGCAGAACAAAAUCCAAGCAUGAAAAAAAUAUAUCAAACUGUAACUCAAAUCAAAUCAUUGAUUCUGAUUGCCAGAGCUCGAAUAUUGAUAAUAUUAGUCGUGGCACUUUAAAUAAUGAUAACUUAGUACUUGAAAAUCUAAAGAACUCUCAAGAUAUAAAUGGAGUUUCUCGCCUAAUGAAUGAAACUUCAGCCAAAGAUAAUAAAUGGAUAUCAAAAGCAUCACACCCUGAAUUAUCUAUAACUGCUGUCUUAAAUUUGAAACAGACUAAUUUUACUGUCAGUGAUAAAGACGAAAGUAUAGGCAAUUGUAUUCCUAAAGUUAUUGAUCUAAGUAGUGAUCAGGAUGAUACUGCUUCUCCUUCAAGUGACAUUCAGUGGCCUAUAAAGUUAUCACAUUCUGAACCAUAUUCUCCAGAAUCUAAACCAAUGGUUGACAAUUCUGAGCAAAUGGAAAUUGAAACAACAAGCUCUGAUACUGAAGGUAACAAUAGUCCAAAGACUGAUCAUUUAUUAUCAUUAAGAAACUCCGAGGAAAUAAUUUCAAAAUUAGUUUCAUCUAGACGAUCUAUCAAGGAAAAUGAAAACACACAAAUUUAUGCUUUGCCUAUGGAACAGAAACUAUCUCACGUAGAACAUCCUUAUGUUGAAAAUACCAUUAAUUCAAAUACCCGAGACUUGGAAGUAGUAAAUGUGUUAUCUCCUGUUUCUAUUAACUCAACUGAUAUCCCUAUGAAUAAAAGUUCAUGGGUUCCUGAUAUGUCAUUGGUACAUGCCCAUAAUGAUCAUAAUGAUAUUGACUGUGAUCAUUCUCAGUCUUCUUUACAACAAUUAAAUGGUUUAUGUAAUUCAAUUAACAUUAACACUAGUCGUGUUACUAAUCAAAAUAGUGAAGUUGAAAUUUUAAAUAAUAUGCAGUUGGAAACUUCAGUUAUGUCUAGACCAUGUUCUUACAAUCGUAUCGAAUCAAGAAUAUUUCCCGAAGAUUCAUAUACAGCUGCUUUGUCUCCUAGUGAAAGUUCGGUUUCAAAUUCAGCUUAUGGUACUGCAUAUGAUGUAAAUCGAAUACCUUUGGCAGCUACUGUUAAACCUAUUCCUGUUACUGUGUCUCCAAAAGAUGUAGCACAUGAAUUAAAUGAUUCCGGUAGUAGCAUUUAUCACAAUAGUACAAUGAACAUGUGUUUUAAUGGGUUUAAGAAAAAAUCUAUCAUAGAACAACAACCUUCUUAUAAUUUUGCAAUGAACAAAUCUAGACCAACUGAUAUGAAUAUUAUAGAACGGGGUUCAUCAACUAACAAAGACAAACAUGAUGUUAUUGAUGUAGUUUCGGAUGAAUUUAGUGAUGUCGACUCCAUGGAUUUAAGAAUCAACAGUGCUGAACCUAAAGAUAUUAAUUUAUCUAUGUCUAGUCUAAUAUCAACUGAUUUAAAAUCAAUUAAUACACUUAAUAGUUUUGAAAAGUGCGGUAAUUGGUCUACCAUUAAAAAUCCAUCCGACACAUCUAAUCAUCACCAAAAGCAAAAAUUAAAAAUAUAUACAGAUCCAACAGAAAUGAUUUCAGUACCAAUUAAUCUGAAUACACAGUCUGUAAUGCCAAUUAAUUUGAAUGAAGCACAUGUACAAAAGGUGUUUUUAGGAAAUAAAAGUCCUCCACAAGUAUAUUACAGUCCAAUUGCUGAUUUCCGUGUUUCAUCAGAUAUAGAUAUGAUAAAUCAUGGAAAUAUAGAAGAUCCCAAUUUAAUUCAUUUUAAGAAUAGACAGAGAAGUUGUGUAAACAUGUGCUCAAAUGAUAAAUAUAUUCAUCCUAUGUUACAACCAACUGAUAAUGAUCCAAAUGUAAAACAAACUAUAAUUAAUGGCUAUGAUGGAGUUCUUAAUCAAAAUUCGUCAAUUAUGAAUAAUGGACUUUUGUAUAAGUAUCCAAGACCUGACAGUAACGCAUCUGUUAGAUAUGAAAAUCCUCCUCUUAGACUACAAAAUAAAAACCCAGAACGCAUAUCACCACAUAAUGGGUUACAAUAUUCAAGUUAUGAUCAGAUACUAGGACCAAGUUUGUUGGAAGAUCCAAAUCAAAAAGAAGAACAGUCAAUGAUUAAUAUGACACAUUUAAUGCUACAAUCUAGUAAAAAUUGUAAAGUUCAUUAUAAAUGGCCUUUAAAUAAAAACAAAAGUCAAACUUCUUCAAACGGAAAACUUUUAGAAGCUUCUCAAAGUCUGGAUUAUAAAAGAAAUUCAAAUGUUUUGUAUAAAUAUACCGAUGAAGAAUUAAAUCAAAAAAUGUCACCAAAUGAAAUUCCAAACCAAUGCACUAGUUUGUCAUUUAACGAAAGAAUAAAUAAUAGCACUUCAAUACAGCCAAACCAACAUUUCCAAGACUUAUCUAAUUUUAUUGCACCUGAUCAUCUUUCACCUACAAUGCAAUCUGGAUCUGAUUCUAUUGAUGAAAAAACACCGAUUCAAACAAUUACAAUCAAUUUUAAAGGCGAUCCGCGAACAGAACCAACUGAUCAUCAAGAAAUGUAUAGAAAUACCAAAAUACUAAGCCAAAGUAAAGAAUCAAGUACAUCAUUUGGCAUGGAUGGUUAUAAAGCAGCCCACUACUUAUUCAAUAGGGGCAAGUUAUUUUUAUGCAUGUAUCCAAAAUGCACCAACAGACAUCAUUUCCGUGUUAUACCUUCUAAUGCAGAAAUGCUACGGCAUGAGUUCACUGUACCAUUUGAUGACUUCCGUUUCAAUAUACAGUAUAAAUAUAAACAGUUAUUAACUUCAAACCCAAGAACAUGGCCUAGUAUACCUGAAUUAGUACAGUUACCUAAACGGUGUCUGUGUGAAAUUUGUGGUGAUUUUGAUUCUAAAUUAAAUCAAAAUCAAGACAUGUUAUAUACAUAUGUCGAAGGGAAAAAGCCAAGUAUUGAAGAAGACAAUUGUGAAAAUGAACAGCCUACAAAUACGCAAAUAACAUUGAGUUGGAAAAAACAUUUGGCACAUCGUUUUACUUCAGAAGAUGUUGAAAAACAGUCUAUUUCACAGAUGAUAGAGGAUAUGGAAAGACAUAUAAAAAGUUUUGCAUAUGCUUUUACAAUUAUUUUUCCACUAAAUAAAGAUGUGAAAAGCAAUUCACAAAAUUUACAAAAUGCAUGUGAAAGUUAUUCUGAUGCUGCUAAUGAUAAUAAUGAAUCAUUGAAUUCUGAAUGUAAAGAAAAACUUGAUAUUGGACAUAAAUAUUUUAAUAAAGACUUACAUCUUCAUUCUUAUCAAUAUUUACAAGUACCUAAUAAAGUUAUACCAAAACAUGUUUUGGAAGAAUUAUCCAAUUCAUCAUACCAACCACCUAACCAAAAUUUAUUAGCUACUUCACAUCAGUUUGAUGAAGAACAUUUCCCUAAUGAAAUAAAUAGGUAUUUUGUAAAGAACUCUCUUAGUCCUUCAUAUCAAUCAAUAAACCUAAAUUUAACUAGCCAGUCUUUAAAAUAUGUUCAUGAAAAUAUAUCUAACACAUCACAUCAAACUGCUGUAGAGAGUUCACCUAGUACAUCACAUCAAUCAUCAAUUGGAAAUCUAACAAAUUCUUCUCAUCAACCCAUUUUAAACAAUUUUCCUACAACAUCACAUGGGAUCUCUCUGGACACGUGUUCUUCUUUGAACGAUAGAGGCCCCAAACAUAAUCAUGUGUCUCGUUAUUAUUCUGAUGGACAAAUGUAUACAGAAUUCCCCCACACAUAUCUUCAAGUUCCUAGUGCUCAGUUUCCAAAUUCUUCAACAAAUUCAUACUAUGGCUCACCUGUAAAUAUGCCAUCAGAUAAUUCUGUGCCAUUUUGUUCUCCAAGUUUAUCAAUAAACUCUGUGCCUCAUUCACCAUCAUCAGAUUGCAGCAUACCAUCCUUGGUUGAAACGGUCGCUACUGCUGUACCUGAGCAUGCUUUGUUAGAUGAUAGUUUAGAAGCAGUAAAUGCUGCUCAUAACUUAAUGUUGAUCUCAAACCGCCAUAGGUACAACAGUACUACUUCAAUUACAACUACUAAAACUACUGACACUAUUACAGUCGCAAGUACCGCAAAUACUAAUUAUAAAACUGUUAAAAAUUCAAGUAUUAAUACAACUGACAUAAAAGCUAAUAAAAUUUCCAUAGCUGACACUAUAGUUAAUAAUAUUUCUCCAGCUGAUAUUACUGCUAAUAAUAGUUCACUCCUUGACUCUACUAAUAAUAAUAUUUCUACUACUUGCAAUUUGAGUGGAACUGUACAACCUUCUAUAACUGAACCAGAGGAUCAAGAAACAGAUAUUGUCCACAAUAGUCGAAGAAAAAAGAAAAAGAAACACGAUAAAAAAAAGGAUAAGAAAAAAAAGGGAAAGCGUUGAUGAUUUUUAUUAAUUUAAGUUUUUAUUUUUCCAUUUAAGCUUAACAUUCCAAGCUUAUAAAAUUUUAAACAAUAGUAAAACCAACAGAUUUAAAAAAAAUGUUUUUUUAUAACAUACUGUGAUUUUUAUUUACUUUUAAACAAACUGUGAUAAUUUAAUAUUGCUCAUUUUCUUUCUUUCUUCAUAUUUGCUAAAUACAAUUUACAUUUUAAUUAUGUUUUAAAACAUAUUCAUUUAAAUUAUAAAAAUAUUUUUUCUCUACACAGUUUAUUUUAAAACUAUAAUAACAUUUUUGCAUUUAUUAUCUAUAUUUUGUUUUAAACAAAUUUAUCACAGUCUUAAAAUGCAACGGUUUCUAAUAACUAUCAUCAUGAAUUCUUAACAAAAAAAAAAAAAUUAUAAAUCACAUUAAGGAAGGAUAAGUGAAAGUGGACAUUGACUGUUAAUCUAUUCAGUUAAAUAGAACAUUAGGAGAAAAAAAUGUCAAAUUUGUUGAAAUUUAAUUAGUCCAAAUAUUAUUAUCUAAGUAAUUUUUUUUCUCUUUUUUUUUGCGAUAAAUGUUAAUAACUGAGUAAGUACUAAAGUUAGAAUUAAUUGUUAAAAUAGUUAUAUUACCAGUCUGUUAAGUAUUAUAUAAGAUUAAGUCACUAAUGUAACUUGGUACCUACUAAAAUUUCAAACACAACUUUGUUUUAUCAGGUACCUUAACAUUUUCAAAGGUAAAUUUGUAUCAUUUAAAAUUCUUUGAAACAUACGUAAUUAGUUUAAAACUAUUGAAUUAAUUAAUGUAAUUUGUAAGACUAAUAUUUGACCACAUUGCAUCGAACAACUGCCUGUAAAUAAUCUAGGAAAAACCAAAACUGUCGAUUUAUAUAUUUAGACUAUUUAGAAAAGAAUCAAUAGUCUUUCAAAAUUGCCACAAUAUAUGUCAGUAUAAUAUAAUGGGUCAAUUUGGAAUUGUUUUGUCUUAUCAAGAAACGAGUUUUAUUUAAAUAAAUAUACAAUGUUAGCGGUACAAUCAACGGAUUCAAGGAAGAAAGCAUUCACAGCUGAAUAAAAAUGUUAUCAAAGCGAAAAAUAUGGCAACUAACCACUGAAAAUUAUUUUUUCAGUCAGAAUUUCAACAAUAUUAUUAACUACUAAUUAGAUGAAAGUUCAAGAUUUCCAGAAGAAGGAUAUAAUAGGUUUAAAUGUAUCUAUUAAAUCUGAAGAAAUAUUAAAAUACAUGUCGAAAUUGCAAAAUUUGAUUAGCAUUAUUUAAAAAAAUACUUAUUUUCAAAUUGUCAUCAAUCUGAAAAGUAGUUUAAAUCAUGUUAAUAUCAGAUAAUAAAUAUUAAAAGAUUUACUAUAUAAGGAGUUACGCUGUUGUAACUUAAAAUUAUUUACAUAUUACGAGAUACCGCUCAUCAAAAUCCUAAUUAAACUCAGUUAUUGGCACUGUCAAACAAGCAGAAGAAGAUGUGUUUGGAUAAUAAUAUCCUAGCCUAACUAGAACACUUAAUAUUAUAAUGAUCAGUUGAUGAAACAUUUCAUUUGAUUGUAACUGGGUUACAAAAAUCAUAUUUAAUGAUGCAAUCAUGUCAAAUAAUCAAUUACUCAGAUAAUGUUUUCGAGUUAUAAUUUAAAAAAUAUAAAAAAAUGUACUCAAUAGACCUAUAGAUAACUUUUUUAAUGUAUUUUUUUCUGUUUUAAAAUAAUUGAUUUGGACAAUGUUAUUUUUUUUUUAAAUUUAUGUUAGUGGUAAUGUUUCCUAAUUUAUCAUGGUCAUAAUUGAUCUCAAUAUUAUUAUAAUUUAUAAUUUUUUGUGCUGCCCCUUUGAGGUUUAAUGUAAAUAAUAACAAUGAUAUAAUAAUAAUUUUAACAUUUUAUUUAUACUACUAUUAUUUUCAUUAUUAUUAUUAUUAUUAUUAUAUUUUUUUUUUGUUAUAGCUUUCAUUUGUUAUUAAUAUAAUUGAUAAUCCUAUUGAUACAUUAUUUUUUGUACAGGGGAAUUAUAAUAAAACAUAGGCUAUUAGAAUAAAAAAUGAAUCCAAUUAUUUCAUAUUUUAAAAAGCAAAAAAAAAGUUAUGAGCUCAUUUAUUAUAAUUAUACAUUGUAAAGUUUGUGUGUUUUAGUGUAUCUUGUACAUAUUGGUCUUGCUAAGACUUUAUUAUUAUUAAAAUAUAUUAUAAAGUCAUAAAUAGCUGUUGUUUAACAAGUUUACUUUUUAUUACUAUGUAUAAAUUAAUAAUUAAUUACGUGUUUAAUUAUUGCAAAAUAAAAAUUUUAGUAUUAUGGUUUUAAAAAAAGGUGAUAUAUAAUAUGAUGUAAACAAAUAUCACUAUUAUUUUUGUUGAUGCCGAAACAACAGACAGUUGUAAAGGAAACAUGAUUUAGGAUUGUUGUAUGAUCAAAACCUUUUUUUCAUAAUCAUCCAAUCAACUAUUGUUUUGGCACCAACAAUGUAAUAUAAACUAAUUUUAAAUUAUAUAAUAUAUUAUUUUCAUCAUCGUCAUUAUUUUUAUUUUUAUUAUUAUUAUUAUUAUUUUUAUAACAUUGUACAAAAUCACUAUACAUUAUUAUUAUUUCUUUUUUUUACUUACAAUUAUUAUACAUUAAUAACUAUGUAGUAGGGUUUUGUUCGCGACCUCUGCUUCUAACAUAUUAUAUAUAUAUAUAUAUAUUCCUUAACGUCGUAGCAUGUCAAUUGUAUGUUUUUUCACCUAAACCAUAAUAUAAUAUUAUAAUAUAUUACAAACAUUAUAUCUUUAAUAUUAUAUGUAAUAUUAAGAAUGUUAUUUACUCAAUGUUAAUAUUGCUUGUUUAUGGUUUUAUAUUAUAUAUUAUUAUUAUUAUUAUUAUUAUUAUUAUUAAAAUAUAAUACAAUAAACAUGUGAAUGUUUAAAUAAAUAUACGAUACUAUGUGUAUAUAAUAACUAGAUUGAUGUUAUUGUCUGUAUAUUUUUUUUUCAAUUUAUAAGCUCAUGCUCUAUAUCAUUAUCAUUAUUUUAAUUUGAGGUAAUUAAAAAAAAAAAAAAACUUACAAUAAAGUAUAAGACUCAUCACUGAUUUCAGUAUGGCCACUAUGGCAGACGUUACUAUUCAAUUGAAAAUAAAUCUGUAUUUUCAUAACAUAAUCUUAUAAUGGUGUAUCAACUAUUUUUCUUCGAUUGAUUUUAAUAAUUUUUUUAUAUUUUUUUUUUUAUUCAAUAUGCCUAAUACAUAUUACAUAAUAUAUAAAAUAUAAUAUGUAUGCCUAUUACACCAUCACAAUAUUAAUUACAUUAUUUUGUGUAAACUUAGAAGUAAUUUUGUAUCCUUGUAAUUAAUUUAUGAAACAUAAAAAUAAAACAACAAAAGUCAAUAUUCGUGUAUAAUUAUAAAUUAUAUUAUAUUUUCAAUCAGUUGUAAAUAAUCGUUCUAAAUGUUAAUUAUUGUUGUGUAAUUAUUAUUAUAAUUGAUGUUGUAAUCUUCUCAUGAAUUAAACCAAAGGUUUUGUUUCAAUA